CUGACCUGCCCACUGAAUAUUGUUUAAAGGGCCGCAGUAUUUUGACUGUGCAAAGGUAGCAUAAUCAUUAGUCUUUUAAUUGAAGGCUGGUAUGAAUGGUUGGAUGAGGUACAAGCUGUGUCAUAAAAAUUAAUAUUUGAAUUUACCUUUUUAGUCAAAAGGCUAAAAUAUUCUUAAAAGACGAGAAGACCCCGUAGAGCUUUAUAUAAUUAAUAUUUAAAUUAUUAAGAUUUUUAAAAUUUAAUUAUUAAAUUAUAUUUUGUUGGGGUGACAAUAAAAUUAAUAAAACUUUUAUUUUUAAUUAACAUUGAUUUAUGAAUAAAUGAUCCAGUUUUAUUGAUUAUAAAUUUAAGUUACCUUGGGGAUAACAGCGUAAUUUUUUUUGAGAGUUCUUAUCGACAAAAAAGAUUGCGACCUCGAUGUUGGAUUAAGAGUAAUUUUGGGUGUAGAAGUUCAAAGUUUUAAGUCUGUUCGACUUUUAAAUUCUU
rnacentral:rRNA from 1 species